AGCUGGGAGCUCAUUGUACAGUUUUGAAGUAGUUUGUCAUGCUGGAGGUUCAUUAGGCAGUUAAGUGGCUUGAAGUUCUGACCUCUCCUUUCA
rnacentral:miRNA from 1 species